AAACAGGCUCAGAGUUUUUUUUAUUGAGUUUGUUUUGUCCAGCUUUCAUUCGAGGCAAGAGUACGGUUGUAGUAGUGAACGUCGACAAAAUUUCACUACUACAAUCAUACUUCUUGCUCGGAUGACAGCUGGAAUGAAAACAAGCAGCAUAAAAAUUAUGCCUAACAUAUGUCUAACAGCCCAUAGUAAAACAUGUCUAACGUUAGUCUAAUGUUAGACUAACAAACAUGUUUCGAAUUUGCAACAUGUCUAACAAAAGUGUGUCAUAUCUGUCUAAUUUUAGACUAACAUUAGCCAAAAGUGAGACAAAAAGUUAGCCUAACAUGCUGGCCAGUUAGUCUCACAUUAGGCUAAUGUUAGGCUAACCCUCCGUACUGGGUAGUGUUGCCACAUAUAAUGCUAAGUCUGCUAAACCCAGUUAUCUGGCCAGUGGGGCAUGGGAGCCUAAGCUUCAAUCAUUAAUGCAAUUAAACAUUACUCGAUUUAUGACAUGAUUGAUCCAAAUAUUAGAUAAUUGUUCGAUCUGUGUUUUUGAAAUGUAGCCUAACACAAGCUUCUAGACCAAAUGCAUAAUGAUAAUUUAGUGUCGCUUCGUUCAGGAUUUGUUCAAGCAGUUCAAGAAUUUCCUGAUUUACAAUAGAAAACAAUUUCCAAACCAUUGGAUUUGAUGUAAAAAUAUUAUGUUCUGUAUCACAAUAGAAAAUAAUUCCAAAACAAUUGAAUCUAACGUGGAACCAGUAAUAAAAUCACUACUAAUACAAUAUGUUUACCGUACAUUUCACUGUUAAGAACAAUAUAAAAACAUAAAAAUCUUCUGUAUUACAGUAGAAAACAAUUCCCAAACCAUUGAAUCGAAUGUGGGACCAGCUAUAAAAUCACUACCCAAUACAAUACGUUAACCGUGCAUUUCACUGUUUAAUACCAUUCGAAAACAUAAGAAUUUUCUGUAUCACAAUAGAAAACUCUGUAACACAAUACUCAAACCAUUGACUUCAUUGUAAAAACAGUACAAACAGUAUGCUUCACAUUAGAAAACAAUUUCAAAACAAUUGAAUCGAAUGUGGAACUAGCAAUAAAAUCACUACUAAAACAGUACGUUUACCGUACAUUUCACUGUUUGCAACAAUUCGAAAACAUAAGAAUCAUCUGUAUCACAAUAGAAAACCAUCCCCAAACCAUUGAAUCUAAUGUAAAUUCACAGUUCAAAACAGACAGUUCUCGGCAUAUUUAACUGUUCAAAACAAUACAAAUACAUAAAAAUCUACGGUAUAUUCCAUUUCACGUAUCGGCAUUUACAACAUUUCAUUAACAUUGGAAUUUUCUGUUUUGUGAAAAAAGUUGUAUGGAAAAAAGUCUUUUUUUGUAUUGUUACGAUACUUAACAACCUAUACAAUUCAAUGUGAAAUGCUCAUUCACAUUUGAUUCUAUUGUUAGAAACAUUUGAUUCAAUUGUUUUUCUAUUGUUAUUUUAACAUUGAAUUCUAUUGUACGAGCAUUGUUUUCAAUGGUUCUGUUACAUUAGAAUCCUAUGUUUUUCUAUUGUAUUUUUUAUCCGGGUGGUACACUGUAUGGUGCAGGAAUGGUUUUCACCAAACACCCUAUGGUUAGUUUUUAUCCGGGUAUAGUCCAUUUUACGAGCCGAUUUUAUGAAUGAAAUUUUGACAGGAGAGUGUCCAAACCCGUAAAAAUCAAUAUCAUCAUCAACAUUGAUGUCACUUCGUAAAAUGGCUCAUCCUAUAGGCAAAUCUGACAAAAGCUAACGAUCCAAGGGGUUGGCCAUUCAGCACACUUCGUUUGUGCCAUUAUUUUUGAGCGUGUGCCAAUGUGUGCCAAAACUGUGCCGGAUAAUUUUCAGUGUGUGCCCAAGUGUGCCGAACGUGCCGAAGGUGUGCCGCACGUGCCCAGUGGGGUUUUUUCUUUGAAUGUUUUUGCGCUAAUGAAGCACCCUGUCAAUUUUUGUAGAAUGUUGUUGAUCUGAUUGGUGUUUACCAACAAAAUCCAACCCAGCAUACUUGAUAAAAAUGUAAAUAAACGGUUUUUUUCAAUCGUGAGUAUUUUGACAGGUUGAUUCUAUAGAGCAACGUUGGAUUUUAUUGUUGUGCCCAUGUGUGCCGAAUUGUGCCGGCAUGUGUGCCGGGCACAAUGUGCCGACCCGCAUAGAGAAAUACAAUUUGUCUUGAACUCCAAACAAUAAAUUUCUUCUCUCUGAUAGGGUUAGUCUAUGUCAAAGGGUUACUUUGGUGUUGAAUGACAUGAAACUUAAAGCACUCAACUAUAUAUCACAGUUUAGGUAAUUCAUACCAAGUGGGAGCUAUGUACUAUAAGGUGCAGACUUUGUUGAACGGUAGAAAGAUGGAGACUUCCCAAGUAACAAUUCAAAAUCAUUAAUAAGCAUGCCAGUUGAUUAAAUGUGCUACAAAGGCGCCGACAGUUGUACAAGAGUAAAUGUUGAACAAAAUGGCAAAUAAAUGUUUCAUGCAGUGAAAACUGCACGUUUGUUAAACAUUUUUCUGCUCAUUGAAUAACCAAUGGUACAAAAGUUGAAAGACAGUUGCUUAGGUAUUCACAUCAUCUAUCUAAUAGUGCUCUAAUAAUUAUAGAAAACAAGCUGCUUCCGACUUAUUAGAUGCCGCUAUUCCACAUACCGUCUUACCCCUCUGGUUCGACACGUUUUAAUACGACACUUUUUAAUUCGUACCCCGCUUAUACGACACAUGUCGAAUUAAAAAAUGUGCAAAUGUCACAGCGAUGUACACUGUAAAUGCAAAACAGUUUGAUAUUGCGCUUAUACUCGCACCCCCAGCAACUCCUCUUGCAGCCUCAAAUUACGGAAGUUCUGAGUUGGUGCUAUUCAACACCCAAACCGCCUGGAGACCAACCGGAAUGAACUGAGGAUGGCAACAAUCGUAGAAAGAACGAGCUUUUCAUUCGCGCCACAGCAAUAUUUGAUAAAAUAAUGUUUCAUAGCAAAUCCGGAGAUCAAAACAAAAACAAACAUAGAGUUGCCAAAUUUCAAUGAGCAUGGUGGUGUAGGGUGACCAGUUAGUCGAAUUAAAAGUAUACCCCGGUUAUACGACAACAGUCGGUGUCGUAUUAGCGGGGUAAUACGGUAUGAUUAUCAAUUGAACAAGUAGCUUAUUUAAAGUUUAACAACUUUUGCUUGAUCAUUUUAUUCAACAACACUGAUAUAGCUUAACAACAAGUUGUUAUCAUGUUUCUUCAAUACAAAUGUUACACUUUUAUUCCAGCAACGUUGAUUAGCAGUGGUACUGUAUCACUUAAUUAUCAUUGUUCGCCCUGCCUCUUUUUGUAAACACGAUAGCUGAUUAGCAGCCUAAGAAAAGCAACCGCGGCUACAGGCUUGAACAUCAAACAAACUUCUUGCAGCAGCUCAAAAUAUUCACUUUUCACAAACAUUCUGACUCACCUUUUACACUACCCGCUCCAACGACACCAUAAUCAGCAACAAAAACACCAGAGAAUGCAGCUGAAGUGGAUCCUGGUCGGCUCCUCUGUUUGGUAUUGGUACCCACUUUGGAGGCACCGGUCAAACCGGGCUCAGCUUCCUUAUGUUCAUAUUUUAUAGCUGCUUGGAGAUAUGCACAAGCGUUACAUAUUCUUCUCCCGACACAAAACAAAAGCAGUGAAAAUAAAACAAAAUUCACUUGUUUGGGCGUUCAAAUAAAUCAAAAGUUCGGAAAGAUACCAAUCUCACAACACAACACCGUGAAUUACUGACGGACUAGCAAAAUAAUUAGCAUGCAUGCCUUAUGAUUAAACGUUGCGGUUACAAUUAUUCCAACAUUGAUCAGCUUCAAUGUUUAUGAAGAUAAUUAGUUGAAUAAAAUAUUUAAGCAAUGUUUAAGCGGCAUUUGUAUUCGACUCAGGAAAUUAUUAUUUAUAUACUGCUGAAAUUUGCCGAUUCAUGUAAUUCGGAUUGAAGCAGAGCGGAUGCAGACGAGUGUGAACCCAAAGGUCCAGAGUUCGAGUCUUUCCAUUGAUGUGAUUUGUCUCAUAAAAUGUAAUAAAAUAAAGAUGUUGGGGGUAGAUAAUUAGAGAGAAAUAUUCAAAAUUCAAUACAAAUGCAGAAAUGUAGAAAGUUAAAUCAUUUUUGCUAUUUUAUUGUUACAAUGAUAUUGAUGAAACGUUUAAUAAUCGUUUUUGUAGCAAUUGUUAAACCAUAUCUAUUAAUAGAAAAAAAUUUCGAGAGUUGUAUCACGGCCUCAGCAUGUUUUGAUUGUAUUAUGGUGGAAUAAAUAUCGAAGAAAGCUUGUUAUUAUGCACUAUGGUGCUAGUGCAAAAUAAUGGUUUCUGAAACCAUUCUUAAAUUAUUAAACAAAUGGCGUCAUACAACAUUGUUUAAUAAACGUUGAAGAAAAGUUUGUGAUGUUUGUGUAAAUUGCUGAUGGUUCUAACGUUGAACAAGAGUUUCACAACCGAUGAACUAUCAAUGAAUAAACAUUCAUUUAAUCGUGCUUAUAUAACGGUUGAUGUUGAAUAGAUUCUCAUUUUUGGGCGAACAAGAGUUGAAGAACAGUUUUAUUUCAAAACUAUUCAAAUAUAAUACGACUUGCAGCUUAAUAACGUUGCUUUGAGAAACAUUUCUUAAAGCAAAAAAUGUUUCUUGGGUUACGAGCAAUUGUCUAAAAAUUAAGUCACAUCUUGUCAAAUUGUUAACGCUUGUUUCAGACAAACACACUUACACACGCACAUUUCAAUAUAUUCAACUGAUAUUGAACAAUUUGACAAAUUGUUGCACGCAUCGGUAUUUGUGAGCGAAGGGGUACCGAUGAACUGAUUGUUGUUGUGAAAUUUUUCACAUUUUGCAGUAGUACCGAACAGCAACGGACUCAAUUCUGAAUUUGAUUUGUGUCCGUUUUAAAAACCGGUCCAAGAUCAGGACAUUACUCCAAAGCGAUCCUUAUCGUGCCACUAGCGUCGGAAACGUUUUCCCCCGGAACAUCAUCACCGGCUUCGGCUGCAUCGGCAGCCACUAAUCGACCACCGAUGAGGGCACUGUGUCGCAGACAAAAAAUCUCCCUCGUUUACCGUGCUGGGGGUAGUCCAACGUCCUAGGAUUCCGGUAUACCGAUGUGUCACCUGUGUCAGUUAUCGCGGUAGAAUACCCCGCCGGAUGUGUCGAUAAAGCUGCUUUUGAGACGGUGCUGGGAUAGCUGGAGGAGAUCUUGAGGAAACCGGUUUUCGUGAAAGGGGUGGCGAAUCAUGUGCAGUUGAAGUGUGCGAACGACGACGAGGAAAUCCGGGAGUAUCCACCGACAAGAAGCCCAAGAAGCACAGCCGGAAGGAAUA